rnacentral:rRNA from 1 species
UACGUAGGGGGCUAGCGUUGUCCGGAUUUAUUGGGCGUAAAGAGCGUGUAGGCGGCCAGACAGGUCCGUUGUGAAAACUGGAGGCUCAACCUCCAGACGUCGACGGAAACCGUCUGGCUAGAGUCCGGAAGAGGAGACUGGAAUUCCUGGUGUAGCGGUGAAAUGCGUUGAUAUCGGCUGGAACUCCGAUGGCGAAGGCAAGGUGCUGGACCCUCUCUGACGCUGAGGCGCGAAAGCCAGGGGAGCGAACGGG